CUUUUUAUGAGAGUUUGAUCCUGGCUCAGGAUGAACGCUGGCGGCGUGCUUAACACAUGCAAGUCGAACGAAGCAUUUAAGACAGAUUACUUCGGUUUGAAGUCUUU
rnacentral:rRNA from 1 species